ACGUACAUGUUCCACCAAAACAAGUUCCUUCCCGAGGCUAUUUUGCAGCGGCACCUUGGCUCCGUACGGUGCUUAGCGGCGCCCAAGAUGAUUGCAAUUGGUUUAAGGAAAUGCCAAUAAACCAGAGCACGUUUUUCUCCCAUCCUGGAAUCAAAACUAUGAAUCC